GAGAGGUUGUAAAGGAGAGGAGGCUCAGGGCAGGGGAACUUCCUCUUCCGGCUCAGCCACGGGAGGCUGGUGGCGUCGGCGGAGCCUCUUGUGCUGCUUGGAGGGUCGAAGCGGCUCCUGGGAGAGAGAGAGGAUGCCAAGAAGAGCACGCUGGACAACAGAGAACGAGAAGCAGCAAAAUAAACAAUCAAAAUAUUUUCCAAUUCCUCUGGAAAUUUUUAAAACUCUUCCUCAACAGAUGACAGACGACAGAAAGAAUAACAAGAAGUUUUGCGCUG